GCCAGUGUGGUGUUGUGGUUGAGCAUUGGACUAUGAUUCUGGAGACUAGGGUUCGAUCCUCAGCUCUGUCA